rnacentral:rRNA from 1 species
CACGUAGGGGGCAAGCGUUGUCCGGAUUUAUUGGGCGUAAAGAGCUCGUAGGCGGUUCGGUAAGUCGGGUGUGAAACCUCCAGGCUCAACCUGGAGACGCCACCCGAUACUGCUGUGACUAGAGUCCGGUAGAGGAGCGUGGAAUUCCUGGUGUAGCGGUGAAAUGCGCAGAUAUCAGGAGGAACACCAGCGGCGAAGGCGGUUCUCUGGGCAUUACCUGACGCUGAGGAGCGAAAGUGUGGGGAGCGAACAGG